GAGUGUUCAUUUGUAUAGGUUUCAAAUUUAAACGGAAGCGAGUUCAAUUUAUACAUUUUGAACUUAAGAUUUAGUCGAUUUAGUUUUUUCUAAAUUACGGUAGCCUCAAAGUUACAACUAACUGUUAUGCGUUUUUACCUAGUUUCACAAGUAUAUACAUAGUUUUGUUUUGAUUUGUGAAUUUAAAGUAUUCUAUUUGUUACUUUGUGUAGCGCCCCGCUAUGAGUUCCGAUAAUGCAUUCGACAGUGGUAAACGACGACGGAUGCCUGGAACACCGAAAACGCCUGUUUCAAGGGAGAAGGAACGGAUCGCCGACCGGAAGCUGCAACGCAGCUUACUGAGGGAGUGCGGAUAUGACGAAGCAACGAUUGCUGGCGCUCUGCGUGCGCUGGACAUCCGGGAGCAACAGGAAUAUUUCUUCAACCAGACGUCUUCACCUGCCAUUCGCCAAGAAUCGAAAAAGGUUUGCUCGUUACCGAAACCCUGACCUAUGUACAAGUAUCAUGGAUCUGAACUGAGUUUUUUUUUAUAUUUGAGAAGUAAGUACCUGUGUUCCCAUCGAGAGACAAAAAAUAUAUGUAUUGACGUUUUGAAAUUUGAAAGGCUCAGUUAGACGCAACUCAUUUGAACAUAGAGAAUAAACCCAGUUCGUCCCCGUUUUCCGCA